AUUGAACGCUGGCGGCGUGCCUAACACAUGCAAGUCGAGCGGUAACAGGCGUAGCAUUACGUGCUGACGAGCGGCGAACGGGUGCGUAAUACAUGGGAAUCUGCCCUCUGGUGGGGAAUAACCCGGCGAAAGCCGGGCUAAUGCCGCAUGAGAUCUUCGGAUGAAAGCGGGGGACCGUAAGGCCCCGCGCCGUUGGAUGAGCCCAUGUCGGAUUAGCUUGUUGGUGGGGUAACGGCCCACCAAGGCGACGAUCCGUAGCUGGUCUGAGAGGACGGCCAGCCACACUGGGACUGAGACACGGCCCAGACUCCUACGGGAGGCAGCAGUGGGGAAUAUUGGACAAUGGGCGAAAGCCUGAUCCAGCGACGCCGCGUGUGUGAAGAAGGCCUGCGGGUUGUAAAGCACUUUCGAUGGGAACGAAAUGUGCCGGGCUAACACCCCGGCAAGCUGACGUUACUCAAUGAAGAAGCACCGGCUAACUCUGUGCCAGCACG
rnacentral:rRNA from 1 species